AAAAGCUCGUAGUUGGAUCUCAGUUCCAGACGGGCGGUCCGCCUAACGGUGGUCACUGYCCGGCCUGAACAGCCGGCCGGUUUCCCCGGAUGAUCUUCACCGGUUGUCUGGGGUGACCGGCACGUUUACUUUGAAAAAAUUAGAGUGCUCAAAGCAGGCGCUAGGCCUGAAUAGUGGUGCAUGGAAUAAUGGAAUAGGRCCUCGUUUCUAUUUUGUUGGUUUUCGGAACACRGAGGUAAUGAUUAAGAGGGACAGACGGGGGCAUUCGUAUUGUGACGCUAGAGGUGAAAUUCUUGGACCGUCGCAAGACGAACUACUGCGAAAGCAUUUGCCAAGAAUGUUUUCAUUAAUCAAGAACGAAAGUUAGAGGUUCGAAGGCGAUCAGAUACCGCCCUAGUUCUGACCAUAAACGAUGCCAACCAGCGAUCCGCCUGAGUUCCUCAAACGACUCGGCGGGAAGCUUUCGGGAAACCAAAGUGUUUGGGUUCCGGGGGAAGUAUGGUUGCAAAGCUGAAACUUAAAGGAAUUGACGGAAGGGCACCACCAGAAGUGGAGCCUGCGGCUUAAUUUGACUCAACACGGGAAAACUUACCCGGCCCGGACACCGGAAGGAUGGACAGAUUAAGAGCUCUUUCUUGAUUCGGUGGGUAGUGGUGCAUGGCCGUUCUUAGUUGGUGGAGUGAUUUGUCUGGUUAAUUCCGAUAACGAACGAGACUCUAGCCUACUAAAUAGGCGUCCCGAUCUCUUGAGAGUCGGGCGUUCUUCUUAGAGGGACAAGUGGCGUUUAGCCGCACGAGACAGAGCAAUAACAGGUCUGUGAUGCCCUUAGAUGUCCGGGGCCGCACGCGCGCUACACUGAAGGAAUCAGCGUGCGCUUCCCCUGUCCGGUAGGACCGGGUAACCCGUUCAACCUCCUUCGUGAUGGGGACAGGGGCUUGGAACUGUUCCCCUUGAACGAGGAAUUUCCAGUAAGCACGAGUCAUAAGCUCGUGUUGAUUACGUCCCUGCCCUUUGUACACACCGCCCGUCGCUACUCCCGAUUGAAUGAUUUAGUGAGGUCUUCGGACUGGCGCUCGGAGCGGCCGAAAGGUCGCGCCGGCGUGCCGGAAAGAUGACCGAACUUGAUCAUUUAGAGGGAGUAAAAGUCGUAACAAGGUUUCC
rnacentral:rRNA from 1 species